rnacentral:ncRNA from 2 species
AACUGUAUAGCGGCGUCAGGUGUUCCCGUCCAGGAAUAAACGGGGAAAUCGGUGAGAAGCCGGUGCAGCCUCCGCUACUGUAAGUGGGACGAAUCCUCAUUAGAAGCCACUGGGCAUGGCCUGGGAAGGUGAGGAGGAGGAUGAACACGAGCCAGGAGACCCGGCCUGACGUGUAUUUUGGUC